rnacentral:rRNA from 1 species
AAGCGCUUGCAGCUAGACUUGCCUGUAGUUGCUUAUCCAGACUUUUGUCUGGUGCACUCUUCUGCGGGCAGGCCAGCAUCAGUUUGGGCGGUUGGAUAAAGGGCUCUAUCACGUACCCCUCUUCGGGGGGGCCUUAUAGGGGAGUCGUCAUGCAAC